UUCCAACUUUCACAGAUUGUUCUACAUACGUUUCUAUACACAGGAAAAACUUCUGAUUACAGAAUUCGGUGCACACUUUGCGAUGUCUUGUCAGUAUCCUUAAAUAAUUACCUUCAAUAUUCAAUGUCACUUUGCUAAACUGUUCACGAUUUGACGUUUUCGACAGAAGUGACGUACGAUCCUGACGGCGUUCGCGACGACACCUCCAGGUCCCUUUUGGCCAGCCCCCUUGAAGCCCGGAUGGGGGGCAUGCCUGCGUUUGGGGGUCCUCGAAGACUUGUCGAUGCCCCGAAAUUUCCUUUACGAUCGAAGGAUCCGUUACUUCUAAUACUUCUAACUGAUUAUUCAUUAAAUAAUUUUGUACUAAUUUGCUACGAUGAGAACUACACACAACUUUAUACAACUUCACACCACAUACGAUUCAUCAAUCGUUUGUCCCGAUACAGGCACGAGAUACGUCACAAAAACAACUUUCCUCCAAUCGUCAACAAUACAACUAGGCCAAUCGGUAGAGAAUUAAAACAGCGUUUUGGUGACAAAAGUACUAAUAAAAGGGAUGCGUAGAUGAAUAGAUGAAACGUAGAUGAUGAAAAUACCUACAGAAUGAGACGUCGAAUGUUUCGAUCGGAUAAUGAGAAACGGAGAAAAAUUGGGAAAACCGGAGAAUUCAACGUAUACAGUAAUGUAUAUGUAUAUAAAUAGUAAUAACGUAGCGUAGCGCGUGCCUAUUACUAUACUAUAUAUGCCAUUCUCCUCAGCUGCCGCUGUGUCCUCCACCGCUCGAACGCGAUGG